rnacentral:lncRNA from 10 species
GAAAGACCCCGCCAGGUGUUGCUGAUAACUCGCCCACCAUCACAGUGAAGGAGAAGCUCGGCUUCACGAGAGCUUCGCCUGUGACCGCACCUGUGACUGAAAUGGCCGUGACUCCUGAGUAUUCUAGCUGCCUCCGCCUUUGAGACAGAGCAGGAAGAACCUGUGGAUGGUGGGAUUCCCUCUUCUUGGAGAAGGGGAUGAGCAUUUCCCGCUGCCCUCCUGACACGCCCGUGGCUGUCUGCCUUGCUCUGUACCUCCAGACUUCAUGGAAAGCAUGCUCGACCUUUGACUUCUGGAAAUCCUUGAAUGAAGCACAAAAGGGAUUGGUCCUUGCCUGGUGUGAAGCACAGCUGAGCCAAAGGAGGAAGCAAUAUUGCAAUGGACUCUGUCUUUGACAUCACUACUUUGCAAAUUUGUUACCACUAUGGUCAAAUUUUUAUAUUCACUCUUACAUUUUAACUCAUUCUGCUCAUUAUAUUCAAUGCAACAUCUGCACUAAAAGAUACUCAGGCAUUAAUUUAUGCUUUUCUGUUUACAAAUGAGAAUUCAUAAGCAAAUUGAGGUAGCAAUUAGAUAUUUUUUAAAAUCGAAGACAAAACAGAAGACACAUACACACACAUCAGUGGAACACAACAGAGAGCCCAGAAACAGACUGAAAUACAGCCGACUAAUCUCUGACAAAGGAGCAAAAGCAAUUCAAUGGAGAAAGGAGAGUCUUUUUAACAAAUGGUGCCGGAACAAGUGGGCAUCCAUAUGCAAAAAAGAAAAAAAAAAAGAAUCUAAAAACAGACCUUAUACUUCUUACAAAAAUUAAUGCAAAGUAGAUAUUAGACCAAUAUAUAAAAUGUAAAAUUUUCAAACUUCUAGAAGAUAACAUAAGGAAAAAAUCUAGUUAACUUUGGAUUUGGUGACUUUUUAAAGAUACAACACCAAAAGCAUGAUCCACGAAGACAAAAAUUGGUAAGCUGAAUUUCAUUAACAUGAAAAACUUUUGUUUUGCAAAAGAUACCAUUAAGAGAAUAAAAAGACAAAUCCCAAACUGUGAGAAAAUAUUUGCAAAAUAUAUCUAAGGAUUCGUAUCUGAAAUAUGCAAAGAACUGUUAAAACUCAACAAGAGGAAAACAAACAACCCAAUUAAAAAUGGGCAAAAGCUGAACAGAUAUGCAGAUGGAAACUAACUAUAUGAAAAGAUGCUCUGUAUGUUAUUAGGAACUGCCAAUUAAGACAACAAUAAGACACCACUACACACCUAUUAGAAUGGCCAAAAUCCACAAGUCUGAAAACACCAAAUGCUGGUGAGGAUGUGAAGCAACAAGAACUCUCAUUCAUUGCUGUGGGAAUGCAAAAUGGCACAGCCACUUUGGAAGACAGUUUGGCAGUUUUUUACAAAGCUCACAUAGUCUUAUUAUAAGAUUUAGCAAUUGUGCUCUUCAUUAUUUACCCAGUGGAGUUGAAGAGUUAUGUCCACACACAAACUUGCACACAAAUGUUUAUAAAAGCUUUAUUCAGGAUUACCAGAAACUGGAGGUGAUCAACAUGUCCUUCAGUAGGUGAAUGGAGAAAUAAAUUCUGAUAUCUACAGACAAUGGAAUAUCAUUCAGUGAGAAAAGACCUAUCAAGUCAUGAAAAGGCAUACCGGGACCCAAAAUGCACAUUACUAACGAAAAAAGCCAAAAAGGCUACAUACUGUAUGAUUCCAAUUAUGUGACAUUUUGGAAAAGGGAAAAUUACACAGAUAGUAAAAUGAUCGGUGGUUGGUAGGGGUUGAGGAGAGGGAAGGAUAGAUGGUCAGAGAGUUCCGGAUGUUUAGGGCAGUGAGACCAUUGUGUGCGAUUUCACCACAACGGUGGACCCACGACAGUGUGCAGAUGCCAAACCCAUUGAAUGCAGACCACAAAAAGAUAAUAAUUACAUAAACUAUGAACUUUCAUAAUGAAAUAAAUCAUGUUUUAAAAAAGUAGACAGCUUUGUUCAGUUACUGUCUACUUUUUGAAAUGGAGAGGGUGGGAUGCUUACAUGGUUGUGAGGAUAAAAAUAGCUUAGAGAAUGUAAUAACUAAAACAGGUGUGUAAACAUUGUUAAACUCUUUUAUCCUCAUUAAAAAACAUUGCUUAAAUAUAUUUGUAAUUUUUUACAACUGAGCGAGUAGUGCAAACACAUUAACAUAAUUCUCCUCUAGCUCCGCUCAGAAGUCAGGCUUCAGUGCAGGACCACAUGGCUCCAAGUGCACCUGCCAAAUGCAACAACCUCUUUCAACGUCAUUAAAAUAUUUCAAUAGGAGGCUUGAUUUUAGACUCAACCUGUGUUUUCUCCCCUGGAAAAUGAAGGUUUUAUGAAACAAAGAAGGUCUUUACCAUUCUCAUCCAAAAUGCUGAGACAUCUGUGAUGUCUGCUGUAAGUGCCACCAGGCUCUCCUCUGAAAUCUCACAACGGGAAAAUAGAGACUGUCAAUUCUGCUUUUAGAAAGGGGAGAAUCAGAUCUAAUGUCGAAAUGCCAUGUCCUCAUUCAUACACAUCUUCUUUUACAAAUUCCACAGGUUUAGUUACUUUGGGAUUAAUAUGGGCCUAUUUUAAAGUGCAUUUAUUAAUUUAGCAUGAAAUGUCCAAAUGCAUUCUGGAUCCUGAGCUGACAUCCAGCAAUGCUGAGUGUGCGCCUGUGUGAGUCACCAGCCCUGAUGAGCCUCAGGUUAUUGUAUUCAUAAAAUGAAGGGGCUUAGGCUUGCUCCGAUUUUUUUAAAACCAUUUUUAACAGUAAAAACUUGUUUCUUGUUACAUAAAAAUGUACAAGAAAAACCCAAACAUUACAAAUGAUAAAUUAUAAUUUUAUUAAUAUAAAUAUUUUGUGAGCUCAAUUUAUAGGACUUAGUUAUUAUAAAAGAAAUAAGCAACAUGAGGUGGCCAUACUUUCCUAUUUUGUUCACAUGCUAUUGAUAAAUCUUGAUGUACACAGAAAAUUAGUUUCAAAGAAUAAUAAUUUUAAAAAUCUUGACUUGUAAUUUCAAGGGACUUUAAAAAAAUUCCUGCAAUUUCUCUUUAAAGGUUCUAGAACAGUUUUCUAUGUCUUAAAGCUAAAUAAUCACAAAGAACUAACUGUUCUCACAUUCUGUAUUAUAAAUAUGUAAGUCAGAAAAGGAACAGACAAAAGAAUAAAAACACAUGCGUGAACAAAUGGGCCUUGGUUUACAUUGAAUUGGAUCUGGCAAUGAACAUGGGUUAUAGUAGUAUUUUUGUGUGUAAUUUUACACGAGUGGACUGUUGACAAAAUAAAAAUUGUCUGCAAUCACUAUUUGGUGGUAUAUUUGCACAAAUGGUAAACAUAUACAUAGAGGUCGUGGGAGAAAUUUAUUUCAUGGCUUACCAGAAGACAGGUUAAGUUGGGACAUUUAAUUGUUUCAUUACUGCUACAUUUUAUAAUGCACUUGUAUGGGCAAGGUAUUUAAAUGUAUUAUAAUAACUUUUAAAUGCUCAAUGUUAC